GACGUAGGGCGCGAGCGUUGUCCGGAUUUAUUGGGCGUAAAGAGCUCGUAGGCGGCUUGUCGCGUCGUCCGUGAAAACUUGGGGCUCAACCCCAAGCUUGCGGUCGAUACGGGCAGGCUAGAGUUCGGUAGGGGAGACUGGAAUUCCUGGUGUAGCGGUGAAAUGCGCAGAUAUCAGGAGGAACACCGGUGGCGAAGGCGGCGCCUGGGGUAGAUACUGACGUGGAGGCGCGAAAAGCGUGGGGAGCAAACAGG
rnacentral:rRNA from 1 species